CGAUAAUCUCUGCCAAAAUUCUUCGCCACUCACUCUGACAUAGGCAACUCACCAAGGAGCCAUU